UACGUAGGUGGCAAGCGUUGUCCGGAUUUACUGGGCGUAAAGCGCGCGUAGGCGGCUUUGUAAGUUAGAGGUGAAAGCCCGGAGCUCAACUCCGGAACUGCCUUUAAAACUGCAUCGCUUGAAUCCAGGAGAGGUGAGUGGAAUUCCGAGUGUAGAGGUGAAAUUCGUAGAUAUUCGGAAGAACACCAGUGGCGAAGGCGGCUCACUGGACUGGUAUUGACGCUGAGGUGCGAAAGCGUGGGGAGCAAACAGG
rnacentral:rRNA from 1 species